rnacentral:rRNA from 1 species
UGUUGGUGGAAAGCUUUUGUGGUUUUGGAUGGACUCGCGGCCUAUCAGCUUGUUGGUGGGGUAAUGGCCUACCAAGGCGACGACGGGUAGCCGGCCUGAGAGGGUGACCGGCCACACUGGGACUGAGACACGGCCCAGACUCCUACGGGAGGCAGCAGUGGGGAAUAUUGCACAAUGGGCGCAAGCCUGAUGCAGCGACGCCGCGUGAGGGAUGAAGGCCUUCGGGUUGUAAACCUCUUUCAGUAGGGAAGAAGCUGNUCUUU